rnacentral:rRNA from 1 species
UACGUAGGGGGCAAGCGUUGUCCGGAAUUAUUGGGCGUAAAGCGCGCGCAGGCGGUUCAUUAAGUUUGGUGUUUAAGCCCGGGGCUCAACCCCGGUUCGCACUGAAAACUGGUGGACUUGAGUGCAGGAGAGGAAAGCGGAAUUCCACGUGUAGCGGUGAAAUGCGUAGAGAUGUGGAGGAACACCAGUGGCGAAGGCGGCCUUCUGGGCCACUUCUGACGCUGAGACGCGAAAGCGUGGGGAGCAAACAGG